rnacentral:rRNA from 1 species
CCUACGGGUGGCUGCAGUGGGGAAUAUUGGUCAAUGGACGCGACUCUGACCCAGCAACGCCGCGUGAAUGAUGAAGGUCUUCGGAUUGUAAAGUUCUGUUAUGGGGGAUGAAAACAAUGACGGUACCCCAAUAGCAAGCCACGGCUAACUACGUGCCAUCAGCCGCGGUAAUACGUAGGUGGCAAGCGUUAUCCGGAAUGACUGGGCGUAAAGGGUGCGUAGGUGGUUUAGUAAGUUGGCGGUGUAAUUCCGGGGCUCAAACUCGGCGCUACCGCCAAAACUAGUAGACUAGAGUGGAGGGGGAGUGAGUGGGAUUGCUAGGGUAGCGGUGGAAUGCGUAGAUAUUAGGAGGGACAUCAGGGGCGAAGGCGACUUACUGGACUGUAACUGACACUGGGGGAAGAAAGCGUGGGGAGCAAACAGGAUUAGAUACCCCGUGUAGUC